CCCCGGAAGUACGGAGGCCGACAGGAAGAGAAGGAAAAAGGAGAAGGCGCUGUCCCGCUCUUGCUACGGUGGCCUGGAGGAGUGGAGAAACCGGAACAAGAAAAUUUAUCACUUCUGGGACUCACAGUCGGGAUGUCUUUCAAGAGGGAAGGAGACGAUUGGAGUCAACUCAAUGUGCUCAAAAAAAGAAGAGUCGGGGACCUCCUAGCCAGUUACAUUCCAGAGGAUGAGGCGCUGAUGCUUCGGGAUGGACGCUUUGCUUGUGCCAUCUGCCCCCAUCGACCGGUACUGGACACCCUGGCCAUGCUGACUGCCCACCGUGCAGGCAAGAAACAUCUGUCCAGCUUGCAGCUUUUCUAUGGCAAGAAGCAGCCGGGAAAGGAAAGAAAGCAGAAUCCAAGACAUCAGAAUGAAUUGAGAAGGGAAGAAACCAAAGCUGAGGCUCCUCUGCUAACUCAGACACGACUUAUCACUCAGAGUGCUCUGCACAGAACUCCCCACUAUAACAGUUGCUGCCGCCGGAAGUACAGGUAUGGAACGGGAAAGCCAGAGGUAGGAAGGCUCAGAAGGAGACAGAUGGCUCUCAAAGAGUUCCAGUGUGUAUUGUGAGGAAUACUCGUGUUCUGGAGAUGUUACUUAGUGUUUCAAGAAAAGGAGAAUUUUGGCUGGGCGCGGUGGCUCACGCCUGUAAUCCCAGCACUUUUGGAGGCUGAGGUGGGUGGAUCACUUGAGGUCAGGAGUUAAAGACCAGCCUGGCCAACAUGGUGAAAUCCCGUCUCUACCAAAAAUAUAAAAAAUUAGCUGGGUGUGUGGUGUGUGCCUGUAAUCCCAGCUACACAAGAGGCUGAGGUGGGAGAAUUGCUUGAAUCCGGAAGGCAGAGGUUGCAGUGAGCUACGGUCACACCACUUCACUCCAGCCUGGGUGACAGAGUGAGACUCCAUCUCAAAAAAAAGAAAAGAAAGAAAAAGAAAAGGAGAAUUUUGUGAUUUUUAAAUAAAGUUUGGGAAAUGGCACUUCGUAAUUUUACUUGAAGAGUAACAGUUUUAAAAGCUAUAGAAAGUCUUAAGAUUAAAAAAACUUGUAAAAUUU
rnacentral:sRNA from 1 species